UACGUAGGGGGCAAGCGUUGUCCGGAUUUAUUGGGCGUAAAGAGCGUGUAGGCGGCCUGACAGGUCAGCUGUGAAAACUCGAGGCUCAACCUCGAGACGUCGGUUGAAACCAUCUGGCUAGAGUCCGGAAGAGGAGAGUGGAAUUCCUGGUGUAGCGGUGAAAUGCGUAGAUAUCUGGAGGAACACCGGUGGCGAAGGCGGCAUCCUGGACCGGCAUUGACGCUGAGGCGCGAAAGCCAGGGGAGCAAACGGG
rnacentral:rRNA from 1 species